rnacentral:rRNA from 1 species
GGUGUAAAAUGAGCUUGCGUCCUAUUAGCUAGUUGGUGAGGUAAUGGCUCACCAAGGGUACGAUGGGUAGGGGUUCUUAGUGGAAGGUCCCCCCCACUGGCACUGAGAUACGGGCCAGACUCCUACGGGAGGCAGCAGUAGGGAAUAUUGGUCAAUGGGCGCAAGCCUGAACCAGCCAUGCCGCGUGCAGGAUGAAGGCUCUCUGAGUUGUAAAAUGCUUUUGUACAGGAGCAAAAAAAUCCCUGCGGGGGUUCUUGAGAGUACUGUAAGAAUAAGCACCGGCUAAUUCCGUGCCAGCAGCCGCGGUAAUACGGGAGGUGCAAGCGUUAUCCGGUUUUAUUGGGUUUAAAG